UACAGAGGUCUCAAGCGUUUGUUCGGAUUCAUUGGGCGUAAAGGGUGUGUAGGUGGCGCGCUAAGUCGGGUGUGAAAUUUCGGAGCUUAACUCCGAAACUGCAUUCGAUACUGGCGUGCUUGAGGACUGGAGAGGAGACUGGAAUUCAUGGUGUAGCAGUGAAAUGCGUAGAGAUCAUGAGGAAGACCAGUGGCGAAGGCGGCUAACUGGUCCAGAUCUGACGCUGAGGUGCGAAAGCGUGGGGAGCAAACAGG
rnacentral:rRNA from 1 species